rnacentral:rRNA from 1 species
GGAGGUAUCAGAAGUGCGAAUGCUGACAUAAGUAACGAUAAAGCGGGUGAAAAGCCCGCUCGCCGGAAGACCAAGGGUUCCUGUCCAACGUUAAUCGGGGCAGGGUGAGUCGACCCCUAAGGCGAGGCCGAAAGGCGUAGUCGAUGGGAAACGGGUUAAUAUUCCCGUACUUGGUGUUACUGCGAAGGGGGGACGGAGAAGGCUAUGUUGGCCGGGCGACGGUUGUCCCGGUUUAAGCGUGUAGGCUGGUUUUCCAGGCAAAUCCGGAAAAUCAAGGCUGAGGCGUGACGACGAGGCACUACGGUGCUGAAGCAACAAAUGCCCUGCUUCCAGGAAAAGCCUCUAAGCAUCAGGUAACAUCAAAUCGUACCCCAAACCGACACAGGUGGUCAGGUAGAGAAUACCAAGGCGCUUGAGAGAACUCGGGUGAAGGAACUAGGCAAAAUGGUGCCGUAACUUCGGGAGAAGGCACGCUGACACGUAGGUGAAGUGAUUUACUCAUGGAGCUGAAGUCAGUCGAAGAUACCAGCUGGCUGCAACUGUUUAUUAAAAACACAGCACUGUGCAAACACGAAAGUGGACGUAUACGGUGUGACGCCUGCCCGGUGCCGGAAGGUUAAUUGAUGGGGUCAGCGCAAGCGAAGCUCCUGAUCGAAGCCCCGGUAAACGGCGGCCGUAACUAUAACGGUCCUAAGGUAGCGAAAUUCCUUGUCGGGUAAGUUCCGACCUGCACGAAUGGCGUAAUGAUGGCCAGGCUGUCUCCACCCGAGACUCAGUGAAAUUGAACUCGCUGUGAAGAUGCAGUGUACCCGCGGCAAGACGGAAAGACCCCGUGAACCUUUACUAUAGCUUGACACUGAACAUUGAGCCUUGAUGUGUAGGAUAGGUGGGAGGCUUUGAAGUGUGGACGCCAGUCUGCAUGGAGCCGACCUUGAAAUACCACCCUUUAAUGUUUGAUGUUCUAACGUGGACCCGUUACCCGGGUUGCGGACAGUGUCUGGUGGGUAGUUUGACUGGGGCGGUCUCCUCCUAAAGAGUAACGGAGGAGCACGAAGGUUGGCUAAUCCUGGUCGGACAUCAGGAGGUUAGUGCAAUGGCAUAAGCCAGCUUGACUGCGAGCGUGACGGCGCGAGCAGGUGCGAAAGCAGGUCAUAGUGAUCCGGUGGUUCUGAAUGGAAGGGCCAUCGCUCAACGGAUAAAAGGUACUCCGGGGAUAACAGGCUGAUACCGCCCAAGAGUUCAUAUCGACGGCGGUGUUUGGCACCUCGAUGUCGGCUCAUCACAUCCUGGGGCUGAAGUAGGUCCCAAGGGUAUGGCUGUUCGCCAUUUAAAGUGGUACGCGAGCUGGGUUUAGAACGUCGUGAGACAGUUCGGUCCCUAUCUGCCGUGGGCGCUGGAGAACUGAGGGGGGCUGCUCCUAGUACGAGAGGACCGGAGUGGACGCAUCACUGGUGUUCGGGUUGUCAUGCCAAUGGCACUGCCCGGUAGCUAAAUGCGGAAGAGAUAAGUGCUGAAAGCAUCUAAGCACGAAACUUGCCCCGA